UCUGGAUUCCAGAAACCUAACUCAUCACAGGCUGCCAUCCUAAAGCAGAACUAAGACAGGCAUUUUGUGAAAUUGGAUGAGGAAGUUAAUCAGGUACAAGUGAUCUCUCUGGUCAUGUGUUAAAGGCUGUGGGGGCCUUGAAGUCAGUACCUGCAUUAGCCAGUGGCAGAUGUCGAGUGUGAGGACAAGGUGGUGUCAAGGCAAGAACGUGGACUAUUUUGCAAGGGGGGGUGUACUUCAGCUUCCAGCUACUGGUGUUAGUUGUCCUAGCAGAGGUGCUGCCUUGUUGGGUAAUAAGGACAUCAGUAACCACUAAGCGAGGUUGCUAGGAGGACCAGUAAACGGCCCCUUGAGAAAGAACCUAACCAUGCCUGGCCCAGAGGAACAGGAAGGGGCCAUUUUCCUCCCUGGCUAAUGUUGGUAGGACUGACGUAUUCUGAAUUUUUACACUCACCCAGCAGACACAAGGAAUUGAGGAAGAGGGAGAAUGGGCCUGGAGAAUAGAGAGUGCAGGGCAGCACCAGUUGAGGGUGGAGGCCAGGGGACUGUCACACCUCCCUGAAGCAUCAGCCCUUGGGAGGGGGCACUGCUGCUCAGAAUAGACCUAGGACUGGUGAGACAGAGGAGAGUCCUCAGCAUCCAGCGAGCACUGGGAUCAGACGAGGAAGGAAUUUCAGGACAACAUUCAAAAACAGACCCUCAUAAUUAAGGAGGAGAUCAGGAGAGCAGAGGAAAGAGAAGAAGGACCAUGCCCUGUGAUGGUACUGUGCCAGGUGGGAGCCCGUGCAAGAUGGUGGCAGAGGGGAGGGAGUCAGUGGAUUCAGAGAGCAACACAAUGCUGAGCAGAGAGAGCUCAAGGGGGCUAAGCAGCUUGUGGGGUGGGGGAUGGGGUUGUCCCCCCCACCAGUUGGAGGGAUUUGCUUUGCAAAUGAGUGGAGACAUAUGUCUCCUUUGAAUACGGGGGGAAAGGAAGAGAGAAGCUAAG
rnacentral:lncRNA from 1 species